AUAAACGUGUUGUCUGAGAAGCAGGGGCCAUUUAAGGACAUUUUCUUUACAAAUAUGAGAGACCAGCCAUGAAGUGCUGGCAGGGGCAGGAUGGGUGGGGUGUGUGUAAGAAUCCCAGAAUCCUUCCCUCUGCUGCGUGGCAGGCACAGACUGUAGACACACAGAGGCCCUCCUGCUUCCAUGCCACAAGACACAGGAGGGGAAGAUGUCUACAGACCCACCUACUACCAUGCCACAGGGGCAGGUUGAAAACACUUACAAGGUCCGCUUGCUGUCACCCCCCCACCCCCUACCUCACAUGGACAGAGGAGUUCAUCCAGAGGCCUGCAAGCCACAUGUUCACCUGCAGUGGGAGCUACAAGAUGCAAAUAUGUGGUGGACAGAUGGGAGAGAAAGAAAGCUGAACAGUUUGAACAUUAUAAAAAAGGUGGAACUGGAGAUACGACGGUGGAGAGGAAUAGUCUGCUAUGAGUAACUAGGCCCUGUUGCCUGAGGCCAUGAUGAAGCCUGUGCUGCCUCAGAGGGCCACACUAGGGUCCAGGGCUAUCCAGUGGUUCAUAUUACCAUUAGAGACCAUAGGGAAGUCCCUGGUCUGGGCACUACAUGAUGCCCAAGGUUUGGGCAGAACUGGCCCCACCUCUCACUGGUUUCUGCACACUGAGGAACUGUCCUUACAUCUCACUGGGCAGCACAAUGGUGCUGACUCUGGAGGUGUAGGUGAGCCAAUCCCAAGGGCAUGAGUGCUGGCCCUGCCUCUUGCUAAUGGCAACAUUGGGUGGCCACCAGAACAGGGCAGGAGUGCUAGCCCUAAUGCUACAGAUGCGGGAGAGCCAGGAGGCAGAUCAGCUCAGGUACCACACAGGCCCAGACCCAGAGCUUUGAGUCAGCCCACUCCAAGAUCUACAUCAUCUGUGAACUGUUGGAACACAUGAUAGGGUGUGCCCGGCUGAUCCAAAGCUGCAGGAUCUCUGAGACACAGGGCAACAAUAGGAUAACCAGGAAGAGUUCCAGUGAGGAUCCAGUACUGAAGGUGUUACAGAAGCCAGCAAUCUCGAACCAGAUCAAUGACUCAUUGCAAUGAAGAUUUGCAAGUGAAGAUGUAUGGACAGCGGGAUAUCCUGUGGGACACAUUGUGACACACAACAGCUUCCACAACAAAAUGUAUUCUCUGAUG
rnacentral:lncRNA from 1 species